AGACGAUAGAAACAUGGCUAGAAGUAGAUCCAGGCAUUGUGAAUUCCCAUGCCAGUCUGUGAAGCCUGACUCAAACAGCCGUGACCAGGCCUCCCUGUGUGGCCCAGCCUCGCUGGCAUUCUGCUGAAUAAAAUCAUCUCCACGUCGCUGCACACAGGAUGAACUGCAGUGUCAGCAGGUCUCCAUGACACCGCCUGACUGAAACCCGCAUCUCUCCCACACGCCCCUCCUCACCGGCCCUGACAGCGCAGACAGGGCUUGCUGUGUUCCUGACUUCCUCUCAUUUUCAGGUCCUCUGCACUCACUCCCACACUCCCCCUCUGCACCCCAGAUGGAGGCUGAAAGGCUCACCCCAGAGGCCGAGAGAGCAGGAAUUCCAGGCCCUGGGUUUUCCAUGACUGACUCGGGGCAAAGGCAUGGCCUUUACUCAGAAACCCGCAGCCAGAGUCUGGAACCAGGCUAGCCAGAUGUGGUACAAUGCUCCCUUGUGAAACUGGACAGAGAUAAGGAGCCCCAGAUCCCCGUC